GUUUGUUUGUUUGUUUGUUUGUUUUUUGUCAUUUUGCAUCAAGUUAGCUGACAUGACACUCACUUCUGGCAAAUAAUCAUCAUAUUUUAAAAGUGUUGUUUUACUACAGUUUAAAAGAAAAAUAAAAUACAUUUAUAACUGGCCAGUCAAAACUGUGACUUUAAGACCAAGCUGAACUGGUUACAUCAUUAGCAGACUGAACAUGCAGUUAAUCCUACUAAUUGUGAGCACCUUGCCUUCCAGCAAAUCAGCUAGGACUAAAGGCUGAACAAUAGUACAUCUAAUUAAUGUUCAUGACCCAGGCUGAUAAAGGAGAUCUGGGUUUCUCUCUGCAUUUCCAUUCAUCACUAUAAAUCUGCAUGUACCCAUACUAAAGACAUGCUGGUAGCAUCAGCCGUGGAGUGAGAAUUAAUCCUACUAAUGAGCCAGGCUGAUAAGGUUAAUAAAGGAGGUCCAUGUAACCUGGAGAAAGUCAUCUGUUCACAUUCCCAUUCAUCUCUAUAAACCUGCAUGUUUCCAUCCACAAGAGGAACAGGAGCCAAAGCUCAGCACGGUGUGAGAAGGUUGCCCUCAGGCAAGCAUGAGACUGGCCUUGGUAAUUGGCACCAGUGAACGAGAGGGUCCUGGCACGACUCCGAAAACCAGAGGAAUGUAUGCAUUCUGUCCAGCUUCAGGCAGAGGAGUUAACAGAACAUCGUGUGAAUCAGCGUGUCUCCAGUCUACACUAUCAUUAGCCCUGGGGUGGGCCAGAGGGAAAGCAAGGGACUGUGGUGCAUCUCUUUUCAUUUACCUUUUUUUUUUUUGUUUACCUCACCCAUCUAUUCUCUCUUCAUGAGUCAUUAUUCCCCAUCUGCAGACACAUACAGUAGCUGGAGUGACGGUUGUUGUAUGGGCAUGCACAGAAAAUGAUCAAUACAAUAUUGUCACCAAACACAUCAUUUUUCAGUUGGGUUUACUCAAGCCAUCCGCUCUGUCACUUCUCAGUUUUUUAUUUUCUCUGCUACCUACAUUGCAUUCAUUCCACUCUGCCUUUAUUCAUAUUUGAAAUGCCGUUGUUGAAAUAAUCUCUUCACUGGCAUGUUUAUUCAGGGACAAUAUGGGAAGGAGACGAACCACUCAUAGAAAAAUUAAUGUAAGAAUAUUGCACGUGUAGAGAUGGAGCUUCUGCCUUUUGAUGGAGGGGUGGGUGGUAUGGUCAAAUGAAUUCAUGCUAGAAGUAAUUUAUUAUUUUUAUAAAUAUAGUGUGAUUUAAGAUUUUG
ensembl:lncRNA